rnacentral:tRNA from 1 species
UAUGACAAGCUGAGUUGGUAGAGCGCUCCACUGGAAAUGGAGAGGUCCCUAGUUCGAUACCAGGAUAA